rnacentral:rRNA from 1 species
AUGGAGAGCAGGCCCCGCCUACCAGCAGCAGUAACAGCAAGAGAGCCCGUGUUGACUCACGUGGUGUGUCAGGAGAUAGAUCGGCGGCCUCCCUUGAGGAGGACCUCUGGAUGCAAUGAAUAUCUUAGUUUGGAACUGUCGAGGGGGGACCGCCGGACAGUUCGUGAGGUUUUGGCCCUCUCUAAAGCCAAUUCCCCGGGGCUUGUUUUUCUUUUAGAAACAAGACAUGCCUCUUCAAAGAUGGAGAAACUAAAGUGGAGGUUACAGAUGAAGUGUUUUGCGGGUGUGUCGAGUGAUGGGCUCAGUGGUGGACUUGCGCUCUAUUGGGAUGAGAAGUUGCAUGUGACAGUGUUGGAUUCCUGUGCACGGUACAUUGAUGUGUGGAUUGUAGAUGUGGCAAGUGAAAAGAACUGGAGAACGACAUUUGUUUAUGGUGAACCUCGGGUGGAAAACCGUCAUCACAUGUGGAGUUCACUCUCCCAGCUUCGCGCGUUCUCUUCGGAGCCGUGGUUAGUGUGUGGCGACUUCAACGAGGCGAUGUGGCAACAUGAGCAUAUGUCCAUAACCCAGCGUUCUGAAAAUCAGAUGGUGAUGUUCCGUGACUGUUCGUUGGCAUGCGAGUUAUGGGACCUCGGUUUUUCAGGGUAUCCUUUCACAUAUGAUAAUGCGCAACUUGGUGAGAGGAACGUGCGAGUUCGCCUUGACCGAGCAUAUGCGGAUGAAAACUGGAGGGAGCUCUUCCAUGUCGCACAAGUUCUUCAUCUUGCAUCAUCGUGUUCAGACCAUAGCCCGAUCUUGGUUUAG